rnacentral:rRNA from 1 species
CUACGGGUCGCAGCAGUGGGGAAUAUUGGACAAUGGGGGAAACCCUGAUCCAGCAAUGCCGCGUGUGUGAAGAAGGCCUGCGGGUUGUAAAGCACUUUCGGUUGGGAGGACUGCUUCUAGCACUAAUAUUGUUGGAAGUUGACGUUACCUUCAGAAGAAGCACCGGCUAACUCCGUGCCAGCAGCCGCGGUAAUACGGAGGGUGCAAGCGUUAAUCGGAAUUACUGGGCGUAAAGCGCGCGUAGGCGGCUAGAUCAGUCGGGUGUGAAAGCCCCGGGCUUAACCUGGGAAUUGCAUUUGAAACUGGGUGUCUAGAGUGCGUCAGAGGGGGGUGGAAUUCCACGUGUAGCAGUGAAAUGCGUAGAUAUGUGGGGGAACACCAAUGGCGAAGGCAGCCCCCUGGGAUGACACUGACGCUCAUGCACGAAAGCGUGGGGAGCAAACAGGAUUAGAUACCCCGGUAGUC